rnacentral:rRNA from 1 species
UACAGAGGUCUCAAGCGUUGUUCGGAUUCAUUGGGCGUAAAGGGUGCGUAGGCGGCGCGGUAAGUCGGGUGUGAAAGCUUGGGGCUUAACCCCGAAAGGGCACUCGAAACUGCGUUGCUAGAGGGCCGGAGAGGAGAUCGGAAUUCACGGUGUAGCAGUGAAAUGCGUAGAGCUCGUGAGGAAGACCGGUGGCGAAGGCGGAUCUCUGGACGGCCCCUGACGCUGAGGCGGCGAAGGCUAGGGGAGCAAACGGGG